rnacentral:rRNA from 1 species
UUAAAACUUUCAACAACGGAUCUCUUGGUUCUGGCAUCGAUGAAGAACGCAGCGAAAUGCGAUAAGUAAUGUGAAUUGCAGAAUUCAGUGAAUCAUCGAAUCUUUGAACGCACAUUGCGCCCGGCAGUAAUCUGCCGGGCAUGCCUGUCCGAGCGUCAUU